CAGCACUAAAGCACCGGACCCCAUCAGAACUCCGAAGUUAAGCGUGCUUG
rnacentral:rRNA from 1 species